CGAUUUCAUCAUUGCUCGCUUAACAAAACCCUCUCUGCAUCUCCCAUUUCAGACAGCAAACUCCCACCUGCUAUGCCUGCAAAACUUCAAAGGAAAUCCUUCAAAUUCAAAUACAGUUUGGAGAAUAGCGAUACUAUAGGCAAUCUCGGAACGAAAAAACAGCAGGCAAUGUCGCGAAUAGCGAUAAGUGUUCGUCAACUUUGUUCCAGAUCUAAAUACCCGUAGAGAUGAAUUGAAGAAAAAAUUAAGCAGUUUGCAGCUCUGUAAUUCAACAUGCACACAUCUGGAAGGUACAAAAAAUCAUCCAGCACUAUGCUAGCGUAGGAAGACAACGAUGAUAUUUGGGUUUCGAUUAGGAGGGAAUCCUGGCGGCGUUCUUUCGAGCGAGGAAAUACAAAGAUCACUGAGGAAUAGUGAGAGAAUGCAGAGCGACUACCAAGUGUUUGAUUUUGCUCGACAAAAACAACAAUGAAGGUUUAAUGAGUUUGAUAAUAAUUUACAAUGCUUAACUGUCUAAGGAAAAAAGUUCAGGUGUUCUCUAUUGGAUGCUUAAUCUUCAAGCAAAUGUCUUCUUCCUCCUCGUGAGUGCUUUCCCCAAACAUGCCAUAUGCAUCUCCACCGUUCUAACAAUAUCCUUGAUUUUUCUAAUUUGUUUUUUUUGUACAUACUAUAUGUGUUCAUGCUUUCUUUGUCAUGUUUGUCGCUGAUCUGUUUUUGGAAUUCGACCUUCCUUGAGUGGCAGUUGAUCUUGCUUCUUUGGAUCUAUUUUGAUUCUUCCAUUUCAAAAUCUGAAUGUGAAUGUUCAAUUCUCAACAACAAAAUAAAUACCUUGGUCCACAAAGGAAUUGAAAGAGAAAGACACCUUGUAUCCUCCACAUUUUACCUUCUUCAGCCUCCUCCGCCGCCGCCAUGAAAUUUCGAGAAUGGUUCUUCUGCAAAUUUUGAACCAUUUUCCACUGAUUAACUCCGAGUAGCUAUCUUGUGAAUUGUUAGUGCUUAUUUAUAGUGUUUGUCCAUGAUUAUAGAAGCUUAUGUAUAUUUAAUUUGUAUAUUAAUAUAUUUGUAACUGUAUUUGUAUUAUCUGCAAAAUUGAAGAGGCACAAUUAAGUGCAAUCAAUUCCAACUGAUUGAUAUUCCAAACAGCUUAGACUCCA